GCAUAUCAAUAAGCGAGAAAAGAAACUAACAAGGAUUCCCCUAGUAACUGCGAGUGAAGCGGGAAAAGCUCAAAUUUAAAAUCUGGCGGUCUUCGGCCGCCCGAGUUGUAAUCUGGAGAAGCGUCUUCCGCGCUGGACCGUGUACAAGUCUCUUGGAACAGAGCGUCACAGAGGGUGAGAAUCCCGUCUUUGACACGGACUACCAGUGCUAUGUGAUGCGCUCUCGACGAGUCGAGUUGUUUGGGAAUGCAGCUCAAAAUGGGUGGUAAAUUCCAUCUAAAGCUAAAUAUUGGCGAGAGACCGAUAGCGAACAAGUACCGUGAGGGAAAGAUGAAAAGCACUUUGGAAAGAGAGUUAAACAGUACGUGAAAUUGCUGAAAGGGAAACGAUUGAAGUCAGUCGCGUGUGCUAGAACUCAGCCUUGCUUUUGCUCGGUGCAUUUUCUAGUGUACGGGCCAGCAUCAGUUUCGGUUGCCGGAAAAAGGCCUUGGGAAUGUGGCACCUUCGGGUGUGUUAUAGCCCUCGGUUGUAUACGGUGGCUGGGACUGAGGAACAUAGCACGCCUUUACGGCGGGGCUUCGGCCACCUUCGUGCUUUGGAUGCUGGCGUAAUGGCUUUAAACGACCCGUCUUGAAACACGGACCAAGGAGUCUAACAUGCCUGCGAGUGUUUGGGUGGAAAACCCGAGCGCGCAAUGAAAGUGAAAGUUGGGACUUCUGUCGUGGAAGGCACCGACGCCCGGACCAGACCUUCUGUGACGGAUCCGCGGUAGAGCAUGUAUGUUGGGACCCGAAAGAUGGUGAACUAUGCCUGAAUAGGGUGAAGCCAGAGGAAACUCUGGUGGAGGCUCGUAGCGAUUCUGACGUGCAAAUCGAUCGUCAAAUUUGGGUAUAGGGGCGAAAGACUAAAUCGAAACCAUCUAGUAGCUGGUUCUGCGAG
rnacentral:rRNA from 1 species